CGGGACGGGUGAGUAACGCGUGGAGAACCUGCCGUAUACUGGGGGAUAACACUUAGAAAUAGGUGCUAAUACCGCAUAAGCGCACAGCUUCGCAUGAAGCAGUGUGAAAAACUCCGGUGGUAUACGAUGGAUCCGCGUCUGAUUAGCUUGUUGGCGGGGUAAAGGCCCACCAAGGCGACGAUCAGUAGCCGGCCUGAGAGGGUGAACGGCCACAUUGGGACUGAGACACGGCCCAAACUCCUACGGAAGGCAGCAG
rnacentral:rRNA from 1 species